rnacentral:lncRNA from 1 species
GUCCCAUGUAGACCUAUGAUAAAGAGUUGGUUGGAAUGCUCUGUGGUUUAAAAUGGUUAAGGCUCCAUCAAUAAUUAAAGAAGAGUCUCUCUCAAGCAUUUAAAGGUGCCUAAACGCCGCUUUCUUCCUCCACGCGUUCCAUUCUCUAUUAACGAAGUUCUAAUCAUACAAUGUAUACUUACCCACGCUUUGAUGUUUUUGUGGUAUGCACUCGC